GCAGCGAGAGUUAUGAAAAGUGACCACUGAAGGCGGAUGACACUGAGGUCCCUAAAACGUCAGCACGGCUCCACACUUGGCAAAAUGAAGGGUCUGAUCUAACAAGGGCUCUUUCAUCUGCUGAGAAAAGCA